rnacentral:rRNA from 1 species
AUUGAACGCUGGCGGCAUGCCUUACACAUGCAAGUCGAACGGCAGCACGGGGGCAACCCUGGUGGCGAGUGGCGAACGGGUGAGUAACGCAUCGGAAUGUACCCAGUAGUGGGGGAUAACUAGUCGAAAGAUUAGCUAAUACCGCAUACGCACUGAGGUGGAAAGCGGGGGAUCGCAAGACCUCGCGCUAUUGGAGCAGCCGAUGUCCGAUUAGGUAGUUGGUGGGGUAAAGGCCUACCAAGCCUGCGAUCGGUAACUGGUCUGAGAGGACGACCAGUCACACUGGGACUGAGACACGGCCCAGACUCCUACGGGAGGCAGCAGUGGGGAAUUUUGGACAAUGGGCGCAAGCCUGAUCCAGCAAUGCCGCGUGUGUGAAGAAGGCCUUCGGG